rnacentral:rRNA from 1 species
GCAUAUCAAUAAGCGGAGGAAAAGAAACUAACAAGGAUUCCCCUAGUAGCGGCGAGCGAAGCGGGAAAAGCUCAAAUUUGUAAUCUGGCGCUUUCGGCGUCCGAGUUGUAAUCUCGAGAAGUGUUUUCCGCGUCAGACCGCACACAAGUCUCCUGGAACGGAGCGUCAUAGUGGUGAGAACCCAGUACACGGUGCGGAUGCCUGAUGCUUUGUGAUACACUUUCGAAGAGUCGAGUUGUUUGGGAAUGCAGCUCAAAUUGGGUGGUAAAUUCCAUCUAAAGCUAAAUAUUGGCGAGAGACCGAUAGCGAACAAGUACCGUGAGGGAAAGAUGAAAAGCACUUUGGAAAGAGAGUUAACAGUACGUGAAAUUGUUGGAAGGGAAACGCUUGAAGUCAGACUUGCUAUUCGGAGCUUGCUUCGAUUCGCAGGCCCGCAUCAGUUUUUCGGGGCGGAAAAUCGUAGAGAGAAGGUAGCAGUUUCGGCUGUGUUAUAGCUUUCUACUGGAUUCGUCCUGGGGGACUGAGGAACGCAGCGUGCUUUUUGCAUGGGCUUCGGCCUAUCCACGCUUAGGAUGCGGGUGGAAUGGCUUUAAACGACCCGUCUUGAAACACGGACCAAGGAGUCUAACAUGCUUGCGAGUAUUUGGGUGUCAAACCCGGAUGCGCAAUGAAAGUGAAUGGAGGUGGGAAGCGCAAGCUGCACCAUCGACCGAUCUGGAUUUUCUAAGAUGGAUUUGAGUAAGAGCAAGUAUGUUGGGACCCGAAAGAUGGUGAACUAUGCCUGAAUAGGGUGAAGCCAGAGGAAACUCUGGUGGAGGCUCGUAGCGGUUCUGACGUGCAAAUCGAUCGUCAAAUUUGGGUAUAGGGGCGAAAGACUAAUCGAACCAUCUAGUAGCUGGUUCCUGCCGAA